rnacentral:misc_RNA from 1 species
GAAAAAGGUCCAACCCCAGCCUAAAAGAAAGUUUAAGCCCGGGAGCGGACGCAAAAUUAAAUGUGAAGGGACCAAAAUUUACAUAGACAUAAUGCAUACAUCAGUGUCACUGUUGAAAUAACAACAGCACCUCCUAUGCAUGCAGCGCAGCAAGAGAGAACAAUAGGUGUAUAAGGGGGCAGGGCCAUCCUCAAGCUAUGUGUGCGUCUGCCCCUGUUUAAGCCCAUCAACAGAAACCUUAACAGAGGAAGGACCCAUAUUUAGACCCAUAAGUUGGUAGAAGAGCCACAACACGCUGUAGAAGAAAGCAUUGCAGAAGAAACAGCCAGACUUCACCUGGGAGAGACAAGUCAUAAUGAAGCACCGAAGGGACAAAAACACGAUUAAAC